CACGUAGGGUGCGAGCGUUGUCCGGAAUUAUUGGGCGUAAAGAGCUCGUAGGCGGUGUGUCGCGUCGGCCGUGAAAACUUGGGGCUUAACUCUGAGCGUGCGGUCGAUACGGGCAUCACUUGAGUUCGGCAGGGGAGACUGGAAUUCCUGGUGUAGCGGUGAAAUGCGCAGAUAUCAGGAGGAACACCGGUGGCGAAGGCGGGUCUCUGGGCCGUAACUGACGCUGAGGAGCGAAAGCAUGGGGAGCGAACAGG
rnacentral:rRNA from 1 species